UUAGCUCAGUUGGUUAGAGCACAGUGCUAAUAAUGCCAAGGUUGUGGGUUUGAUUCCCACA
rnacentral:tRNA from 1 species